UACGUAGGGUGCAAGCGUUGUCCGGAAUUAUUGGGCGUAAAGAGCUCGUAGGCGGUCUGUCGCGUCGGCUGUGAAAUCCCGAGGCUCAACCUCGGGUCUGCAGUCGAUACGGGCAAACUAGAGUAUUGCAGGGGAGACUGGAAUUCCUGGUGUAGCGGUGAAAUGCGCAGAUAUCAGGAGGAACACCGGUGGCGAAGGCGGGUCUCUGGGCCGAUACUGACGCUGAGAAGCGAAAGCGUGGGGAGCGAACAGG
rnacentral:rRNA from 1 species